rnacentral:tRNA from 1 species
CUGGAAAUAGCUCAGUGGUUAGAGCAUCAGACUCGUAAUCUGACGGCCGCGGGUUCAACUCCCGCUUUCCAAA